CCUACGGGUGGCAGCAGUGGGGGAUAUUGCACAAUGGGGGGAACCCUGAUGCAGCGACGCCGCGUGGGUGAAGAAGCGCCUCGGCGCGUAAAGCCCUGUCAGCAGGGACGCAAAUGACGGUACCUGAAGAAGAAGCCCCGGAUAACUACGUGCCAGCAACCGCGGUAAUACGUAGGGAGCAGGCGUUAUCCGGCUUUACUGGGUGUAAAGGGGGCGCAGACGGCGAUGCAAGCCAGGAGUGAAAGCCCGGGGCCCAACCCCGGGACUGCUCUUGGCACCGCGGGGCGGGAGUGCAGGAUGGGCAGGCGGAAUUCCUGGUGUAGCGGUGAAAUGCGUAGAUAUCAGGAGGAACACCGGUUGCGAAGGCAGCCUGCUGGACUGCAACUGACGUUGAGGCCCGAAAGCGUGGGGAGCAAACAGGAUUAGAUACCCUUGUAGUC
rnacentral:rRNA from 1 species